rnacentral:rRNA from 1 species
UUAAAUUGAAGAGUUUGAUCAUGGCUCAGAUUGAACGCUGGCGGCAGGCCUAACACAUGCAAGUCGAGCGGAAACGAGUUGUCUGAACCUUCGGGGGACGAUAACGGCGUCGAGCGGCGGACGGGUG